GGGUUGUGAGGUUAAGCGACUAAGCGUACACGGUGGAUGCCCUGGCAGUCAGAGGCGAUGAAGGACGUGCUAAUCUGCGAUAAGCGUCGGUAAGGUGAUAUGAACCGUUAUAACCGGCGAUUUCCGAAUGGGGAAACCCAGUGUGWUUCGUCACACUAUCAUUAACUGAAUCCAUAGGUUAAUGAGGCGAACCGGGGGAACUGAAACAUCUAAGUACCCCGAGGAAAAGAAAUCAACCGAGAUUCCCCCAGUAGCGGCGAGCGAACGGGGAGGAGCCCAGAGCCUGAAUCAGUGUGUGUGUUAGUGGAAGCGUCUGGAAAGGCGCGCGAUACAGGGUGACAGCCCCGUACACAAAAAUGCACAUACUGUGAGCUCGAUGAGUAGGGCGGGACACGUGGUAUCCUGUCUGAAUAUGGGGGGACCAUCCUCCAAGGCUAAAUACUCCUGACUGACCGAUAGUGAACCAGUACCGUGAGGGAAAGGCGAAAAGAACCCCGGCGAGGGGAGUGAAAAAGAACCUGAAACCGUGUACGUACAAGCAGUGGGAGCCUCUUUAUGGGGUGACUGCGUACCUUUUGUAUAAUGGGUCAGCGACUUAUAUUCUGUAGCAAGGUUAACCGAAUAGGGGAGCCGAAGGGAAACCGAGUCUUAACUGGGCGUUAAGUUGCAGGGUAUAGACCCGAAACCCGGUGAUCUAGCCAUGGGCAGGUUGAAGGUUGGGUAACACUAACUGGAGGACCGAACCGACUAAUGUUGAAAAAUUAGCGGAUGACUUGUGGCUGGGGGUGAAAGGCCAAUCAAACCGGGAGAUAGCUGGUUCUCCCCGAAAGCUAUUUAGGUAGCGCCUCGUGAAUUCAUCUCCGGGGGUAGAGCACUGUUUCGGCAAGGGGGUCAUCCCGACUUACCAACCCGAUGCAAACUGCGAAUACCGGAGAAUGUUAUYACGGGAGACACACGGCGGGUGCUAACGUCCGUCGUGAAGAGGGAAACAACCCAGACCGCCAGCUAAGGUCCCAAAGUCAUGGUUAAGUGGGAAACGAUGUGGGAAGGCCCAGACAGCCAGGAUGUUGGCUUAGAAGCAGCCAUCAUUUAAAGAAAGCGUAAUAGCUCACUGGUCGAGUCGGCCUGCGCGGAAGAUGUAACGGGGCUAAACCAUGCACCGAAGCUGCGGCAGCGACACUAUGUGUUGUUGGGUAGGGGAGCGUUCUGUAAGCCUGUGAAGGUGURCUGUGAGGYAUGCUGGAGGUAUCAGAAGUGCGAAUGCUGACAUAAGUAACGAUAAAGCGGGUGAAAAGCCCGCUCGCCGGAAGACCAAGGGUUCCUGUCCAACGUUAAUCGGGGCAGGGUGAGUCGACCCCUAAGGCGAGGCCGAAAGGCGUAGUCGAUGGGAAACAGGUUAAUAUUCCUGUACUUGGUGUUACUGCGAAGGGGGGACGGAGAAGGCUAUGUUGGCCGGGCGACGGUUGUCCCGGUUUAAGCGUGUAGGCUGAUUUUCCAGGCAAAUCCGGAAAAUCAAGGCUGAGGCGUGAUGACGAGGCACUACGGUGCUGAAGCAACAAAUGCCCUGCUUCCAGGAAAAGCCUCUAAGCAUCAGGUAACAUCAAAUCGUACCCCAAACCGACACAGGUGGUCAGGUAGAGAAUACCAAGGCGCUUGAGAGAACUCGGGUGAAGGAACUAGGCAAAAUGGUGCCGUAACUUCGGGAGAAGGCACGCUGAUAUGUAGGUGAAGCGACUUGCUCGUGGAGCUGAAAUCAGUCGAAGAUACCAGCUGGCUGCAACUGUUUAUUAAAAACACAGCACUGUGCAAACACGAAAGUGGACGUAUACGGUGUGACGCCUGCCCGGUGCCGGAAGGUUAAUUGAUGGGGUUAGCGGUAACGCGAAGCUCUUGAUCGAAGCCCCGGUAAACGGCGGCCGUAACUAUAACGGUCCUAAGGUAGCGAAAUUCCUUGUCGGGUAAGUUCCGACCUGCACGAAUGGCGUAAUGAUGGCCAGGCUGUCUCCACCCGAGACUCAGUGAAAUUGAACUCGCUGUGAAGAUGCAGUGUACCCGCGGCAAGACGGAAAGACCCCGUGAACCUUUACUAUAGCUUGACACUGAACAUUGAGCCUUGAUGUGUAGGAUAGGUGGGAGGCUUUGAAGUGUGGACGCCAGUCUGCAUGGAGCCGACCUUGAAAUACCACCCUUUAAUGUUUGAUGUUCUAACGUUGGCCCSUKAUCSGGGUUGCGGACAGUGUCUGGUGGGUAGUUUGACUGGGGCGGUCUCCUCCUAAAGAGUAACGGAGGAGCACGAAGGUUGGCUAAUCCUGGUCGGACAUCAGGAGGUUAGUGCAAUGGCAUAAGCCAGCUUGACUGCGAGCGUGACGGCGCGAGCAGGUGCGAAAGCAGGUCAUAGUGAUCCGGUGGUUCUGAAUGGAAGGGCCAUCGCUCAACGGAUAAAAGGUACUCCGGGGAUAACAGGCUGAUACCGCCCAAGAGUUCAUAUCGACGGCGGUGUUUGGCACCUCGAUGUCGGCUCAUCACAUCCUGGGGCUGAAGUAGGUCCCAAGGGUAUGGCUGUUCGCCAUUUAAAGUGGUACGCGAGCUGGGUUUAGAACGUCGUGAGACAGUUCGGUCCCUAUCUGCCGUGGGCGCUGGAGAACUGAGGGGGGCUGCUCCUAGUACGAGAGGACCGGAGUGGACGCAUCACUGGUGUUCGGGUUGUCAUGCCAAUGGCACUGCCCGGUAGCUAAAUGCGGAAGAGAUAAGUGCUGAAAGCAUCUAAGCACGAAACUUGCCCCGAGAUGAGUUCUCCCUGACUCCUUGAGAGUCCUGAAGGAACGUUGAAGACGACGACGUUGAUAGGCCGGGUGUGUAAGCGCAGCGAUGCGUUGAGCUAACCGGUACUAAUGAACCGUGAGGCUUAACCUUACAACGCCGAAG
rnacentral:rRNA from 1 species